rnacentral:rRNA from 1 species
CCUACGGGAGGCAGCAGUGAGGAAUAUUGGUCAAUGGGCGCGAGCCUGAACCAGCCAAGUAGCGUGAAGGAUGACGGCCCUACGGGUUGUAAACUUCUUUUAUAAAGGAAUAAAGUGAGGCACGUGAGCAGUUUUGUAUGUACGUUAUGAAUAAGGAUCGGCUAACCCCGUGCCAGCAGCCGCGGUAAUACGGAGGAUCCGAGCGUUAUCCGGAUUUAUUGGGUUUAAAGGGAGCGUAGAUGGGUUGUUAAGUCAGUUUUGAUAGUUUGCGGCUCACCCGUAAAAUUGCAAUUGAUACUGGCCGUCUUUCGUACAGUUGAGCUAGGCGGAAUUCCUUGUGUAGCGGUGUACUGCUUAGCUCUCACG